rnacentral:rRNA from 1 species
UACAGAGGGUGCAAGCGUUAAUCGGAAUUACUGGGCGUAAAGCGUGCGUAGACGGUUAUGUAAGUCGGGUGUGAAAGCCCCGGGCUCAACCUGGGAAUUGCAUUCGAGACUGUGUAGCUAGGGUACGGAAGAGGGAAGCGGAAUUUCAGGUGUAGCGGUGAAAUGCGUAGAUAUCAGGAGGAACACCGGUGGCGAAGGCGGGUCUCUGGGCCGAUACUGACGCUGAGGAGCGAAAGCGUGGGGAGCGAACAGG